rfam:Ictidomys tridecemlineatus contig075479, whole genome shotgun sequence.
UGGGGUGUGGCUCAGUGGUAGAACGCUUGCCAAGCAAGCAUGAGGCACUGGGUUCAAUCCUCAGCACCACAU